UACGUAGGUGGCAAGCGUUGUCCGGAAUCACUGGGCGUAAAGCGCGCGCAGGCGGCGAUCUACGUCUGGGGUGAAAGCCCGGAGCUCAACUCCGGGACUGCCUCGGAUACGGGAUCGCUUGAGGAUUGGAGAGGCAAGGGGAAUUCCACGUGUAGCGGUGAAAUGCGUAGAGAUGUGGAGGAACACCUGUGGCGAAGGCGCCUUGCUGGCCAAUUACUGACGCUGAGGCUCGAAAGCAUGGGGAGCAAACAGG
rnacentral:rRNA from 1 species